UACGGGGGGAGCAAGCGUUGUUCGGAAUUACUGGGCGUAAAGCGCACGUAGGCGGCUUUGUAAGUCAGAGGUGAAAGCCCGGAGCUUAACUCCGGAAUUGCCUUUGAGACUGCAUCGCUUGAAUCCAGGAGAGGUGAGUGGAAUUCCGAGUGUAGAGGUGAAAUUCGUAGAUAUUCGGAAGAACACCAGUGGCGAAGGCGGCUCACUGGACUGGUAUUGACGCUGAGGUGCGAAAGCGUGGGGAGCAAACAGG
rnacentral:rRNA from 1 species